UUAGGAAUGGUUAUCAGCUCUUUUUACUGUCAGACGAUGAUGAUAUACCCUCUGUAUUUUACAAUGAUAUUGAAGAGAACUCAUGGAAACAUUCAGAAUAAUAUAUAAAAAUAACAGAAUUACUGAUAACUAUUAUUCAUGAUUACAGUGAUUCUCAGAGGAUUGACUUCUGUCCUGAGGUGGCAUCAAGUGAAAAAAUGACAAAAAUAAAACAAAACAAAAGAAAACCAGUAGCCAAGUGGUUAGCACUAGGCAGGAAAAUAUAUCUGCCAUUAAGAAGAGACAAAAUGAUUCGAUAGACCAAGAUCAAACUUAUCUCUGCUAUCUCUUUCCUGAAUCUUUGUAGGAGUAGAAAGUUUAAAUCAUUAAACUCAUGUACUAGUGAACAUUUUUGAACAGGAUUGUAGAUUAGCUGCUCCAUGCUCUCUCCUAGGAGGUACCCCAGGUUGAAACAUAAUUGUAGAAGUUCAAAAUCUCUUUGGGAAAUUCAAGCAAAGAGAUGUAUCAACAGUGUUUAUCCACAGAAGUCUCACUAAUACUUCCUGCUUUUGAAAUGAUAACCAAAGUAAAAUUUUAUAGCCAAUAUUAACUAGGGGUUGAAUUCUAGAGGGAAAGAGCAGAAGGGUGGUAAUAAACCCAUUGGAUAAUAUGAAUUACAGAAAAUAAAUAGCCAAACUACAGAAGACCUUUGUGGUACCCAACUGCCAUAACUUUGAUUAACCCUGCUGUGUUUCAGCAAUGGGUCAUGCAAGCCUUUUGACACCAUUUCUUUGAGAUGUCAGUCACAUUUCAAUAACUUUUCAGCAUGGGCUUGUAAGUCCUGUCUCUUCAUUGACUUUGAAUGAAGCAGGUUGCUUAUGAAUGCAGCUCCAAGUGUCAGUCAGAGAUACUUGCAUUGUGUUAGCUUUGAUUGGCAUGUCUGGGGGUUGUGGAAAAAUUCUGUCACAUCCAAAUGUGCUCUCUAAACACUGAAUAUCUUUACACAAAUGUUUUCUCCAGGAGAAGCAGCUUAGACCCUUAUGAUGAUACCAUUAUUGCAGUGUUCCCUCUCACUAUAUACGAGGUAGUAUGUCCUACAGGCAUAGGUUCAUGGGGCUUGGGAACUCAGAUUGUGUUUGCAAUUCUGAUCCCACAAGCCUUUGGGGCUACAAUUUAACUAAUGUAUCACAUUAACUGCCACAUGCAGAGCCUAUCUAACAACCUAAUUACUUUGAUGAGAAUACCUGUGUAAUAUCCUCUUACUUGGCAAAAACAAGUGGUGCUAAAAAGAUCCCAAAGCAUCUACUUCAUCUGGAAAAACAUAAUAAAAGCAUUCCUUUCAUUAACAAAACGCCAGACAUAUAAACAACUAAUUUGCCAAUGAUCCUUAUGGACAAAGUGCUCUUGUCCCCAUUACUGACUCCCUUGCAACAUAUGAUAUGAGCUGCUGUUUGAUAUGUUAUAUAUCCAUGUAUCUAAUAAAGCCAAAAAAAAAAAAACACACACCAAAACCUUGAAAUAUAUAAGGGAACUGACUCCAGAGAUGGCUGAAGAAAGUACAUGCUCAAAAUGCCCUUCCCCAAAAGAUGAGCCUUUCUUCUGUUGUAGUGCAGAGUGUGUGGUUGAGUACACAUAGGCAAAUGCGUGUGUGUGUGUGUGUGUGUGUGUGUGUGUGUGUGUGUGUAUGUGGCACUUUGCAGUGUAUUUGUUUAUCAGAGAAAGAGUCACUGCCAAGGUCCCCCUAACUCUCAUUAUUGCACAGAGAAGGAUGUUUAAGCUGGACAUAGCUAGACCAGUUGCAGCAGGGAAAAAGCUCCAUGAGGAGGUUGCCCAUCCCAAUAAUGUUUUCCAUAUUAGACAGCAAAGGACGCAAAUAUCUGGACAACUAUAUACAUCUCAAAUAUCCAGUCAACAAGGUGAAGGGUGACUUCUUCAAGGAACACCAUGUCAGCCUGCUCUUCUAUUGAGCUCACUGGGUCUGUUGAGCUAGGUUCUUAUGAAACCACCAAAAGCAGGGAGAAAAUCUGCCUCCUGGGCCAUGGGUAUUUCUCUCUCAUUUAGAGGUCAAAUUCAAUUAAUUAACUAUUAAUUUUGGUGGCAAGGAAUAUCUGUUUAUAGUACCAAUAUCUCUGAGUCCAUCAUGGGACAAUUGUCAUUUAUAUAUUAGUAUUCAUUUAAAUUCCAUGCUCCUCACCUAAUUCACAGCUAAGAUCAAUUGACUUAAGAAAAUUAAAAUCUUGAUUGCCAUGGUAAUGAAAUGCCAUGAGCUAAAACAGCUUGAGGGCGCUAGGGAUAUUUGGGAAGCACCAAAGUCAAAUUUCAACUAUUUUAAAAUUUUGCUUGGGUCAGCCCUAUUCCUCCUUAAAAAAAAGGAAGAAAGGUGUCAGUGCUCUUUGCCAUUCUCACCUCCCUGCUGCUAGCAUACAGGAAUAUUAAUGCCUAAUUAAUGAGUAACAUCAGAAUCAUCCUUCCAAAAGGAUACUAAGGAUGGCCACACUAAAAGGCAGACAGGAUUUCCCACUGUGGCACAGUGGAAAUGAAUCUGACUAGUAUCCCUGAGGAUGCGGGUUCAAUCCCUGGCCUCGCUCAGUGGGUUGGGGAUCUGGGCAUUGCUGUGAGCUGUGAUGUAGGUCACAGACAUGGCUUGGAUCCCAGGUUGCUGUGGCUGUGGUAUAGGCUGGCAGCUGUAGCUCUGAUUUGACCUCUAACCUGGAAA
rnacentral:lncRNA from 1 species